AUAAGCAAUUAUACAGGGAAACUGCGAAUGGCUCAUUAUAUAAGUUAUCGUUUAUUUGAUAGUGCCUUCCUACAUGGAUAACCGUGGUAAUUCUAGAGCUAAUACAUGCUAAAAAUCCCGACUUCGGAAGGGAUGUAUUUAUUAGAUUAAAAGCCAACGCCCUUUCGGGGCUCCUUGGUGAAUCAUAAUAACUUCACGGAUCGCACGGCCUUGCGCCGGCGAUGGUUCAUUCAAAUUUCUUCCCUAUCAACUUUCGAUGUUUGGGUAUUGGCCAAACAUGGUUUCAACGGGUAACGGAGGGUUAGGGCUCGACCCCGGAGAGGGAGCCUGAGAAAUGGCUACCACAUCCAAGGAAGGCAGCAGGCGCGCAAAUUACCCAAUCCCAAUUCGGGGAGGUAGUGACAAUAAAUACUGAUACAGGGCUCUUUUGGGUCUUGUAAUUGGAAUGAGUACAAUUUAAAUCCCUUAACGAGGAACAAUUGGAGGGCAAGUCUGGUGCCAGCAGCCGCGGUAAUUCCAGCUCCAAUAGUGUAUAUUAAAGUUGUUGUGGUUAAAAAGCUCGUAGUUGAACCUUGGGCCUGGCUGGCCGGUCCGCCUCACCGCGUGCACUGGUCCGGCCGGGUCUUUCCCUCUGUACGACGUUAUGCACUUCACUGGGCGUAACGGAGGACAGGACUUUUACUUUGAAAAAAUUAGAGUGCUCCAGGCAGGCCUUUGCUCGAAUACUUCAGCAUGGAAUAAUAAAAUAGGAUGUGCGGUUCUAUUUUGUUGGUUUCUAGGACCGCCGUAAUGAUUAAUAGGGACAAUCGGGGGCAUCAGUAUUCCGUAGUCAGAGGUGAAAUUCUUGGAUCUACGGAAGACUAACUACUGCGAAAGCAUUUGCCAAGGGUGUUUUCAUUAAUCAGGAACGAAAGUUAGGGGAUCGAAGACGAUCAGAUACCGUCGUAGUCCUAACCGUAAACUAUGCCGACUAGGGAUCGGGCGAUGUUAUCUUUUGACUCGCUCGGCAC
rnacentral:rRNA from 1 species